CACGUAGGGUGCGAGCGUUAAUCGGAAUUACUGGGCGUAAAGCGUGCGUAGACGGUUGCGUAAGUCAGAUGUGAAAGCCCCGGGCUCAACCUGGGAAUUGCAUUUGAGACUGCGUAGCUAGGGUGCGGAAGAGGGAAGCGGAAUUUCCGGUGUAGCGGUGAAAUGCGUAGAUAUCGGAAGGAACACCAGUGGCGAAAGCGGCUUCCUGGUCCAGCACCGACGUCAGGCACGAAAGCGUGGGGAGCAAACAGG
rnacentral:rRNA from 1 species